GGCUGUCUUCCCAGACGGUGUACUCAGAU
rnacentral:piRNA from 1 species